UUUUAACUUUUUCUCGGGUUUUACAGUGUACUAAUUAAAAUUAUUAUACUGUUUAAAACAAAAUUAUCACUUCCUGAUCUAAAUGAACAUUAAGCAAGAAUCACACAAUAUCUUGUCAGUGUCUCUAAUAAAUUAAUCUGUUCAUUCACUAAUAAUCUCCUUUUUUCUCUCUUUCUAUGUGUUGCUGUGACAUGAAGCGUUGGGCAAUGGAGAUCCGGGAAAUGAAGAGAAUGAAUAUAACAAUGGAUAAUUCCCCAGUGAAAAUGAGAAUUGAACCCAUGUCUGUUGAGCUGUUAAACUCUCAUGUAAAAAAAAAA